UUUAGAAAACUACAAUAAUUUUAUCAAUUCAUAUACUUGUUUAAUUGUAAGAGUUCUGUGGCACCUCAAAUGUAUUUCCUUCACAACCUUUUGACGGCUAAAAGACCAAUAUAACAUUGGACAGAUAAAUACUCACCUCCUAUAUUGCGAUGGAUUGAGGACCUUACAAUGAUUUCAACAUUUGAACAGCUCUCUCGGGACAGAAGUCAACAAAGCUAUUCAUUGCUUUGUCCAUUCAUGAGAACACUCCUUGUGGGUCAAAAGAUCUCCAGCUGCAGCCAUCCAUGGCUUUGCGAUUAUCCAGUACUCUCCCACGAAUAUAGUGCAGUAAGGAUGAGGUGCCCUGGCAAUAACAAGGAUGAGAUUUGCUUUUCCUCCUGAGCUCUCAGCUAUGGAGGCUGACCAAAAUCAGUGGGCUGAUCCAGAUUUAUUCCUUUUGGCGUGGUUAGGACAUAAGGCAAAAGGUUUAAAUUAAUGGGAGACAGAAUUAGAUCAAGCGUGAGGAAGAACUGGGAGUUCCUUCUUAGGGACAUCUGCUUCCUAGGGAAAAGUUGAGUGCCUGGCCUGGCCUGAUCCCAUGGGUGAUCACUUAUUAUUAUUUCAUUUCAUUAUUGCCCCCAUAGCCGAAGGUCUCUGGGAUAAUCUCAAUACUAUCUCAAUAGGAUUUUUAUUCCAUAACGCUCCGUGGUGAAUAACCAAAACCAAUCCUUCAGCUCAUUUCAGCCUGUCAGAAUGCUACUCACACCAGGCCGUUGUGAGUUUUCAACACAUCUGCAUGAAGGUUAGACUAAUCUGGGAGAUUACAGGGGAAUUUUGCUAGGCAUAUGAUGAGCUGGUAUGAGGCAACUAAUAAUCUGGCUCAUCAUGAGGAAGGAUUGUUAGCAUAAGCACUUCCAUUUUCUAAAGGAAGCUGUAAAGUAUCCAUUACACACCAGGCGAAAUGUCACAUACCAAGGGCGUCUUCAAGGGUGUCUUCUUGAAACUGUCUUAUCUAACUAAAACAAUAGCUUCUCGGCUCCAGGCAGAAAGUUAACUUGCAGUAACUUACUGUUACAAAGGGAUUGUUUUGCACAAGAUAAGAAAGCUCUGGUGUUACGUUCUGAUUGGUUAAUAUUGCUAUGGGGCACUGCCCCUUUCAGGCUUGAAAAGCUGUGCUGAAUUUCCAAUUCUCUGUCUGACUGUUGCUUUCAAACUCUCAGAUCGUGAUUAUAAUCAAUAAAGCGCUUUUGAACCCUC